AGCGAACGCUGGCGGCAGGCCUAAUACAUGCAAGUCGAACGGCUCUUCGGAGCAGUGGCGGACGGGUGAGUAACGCGUGGGAAUGUGCCCUUUGGUACGGAACAACACAGGGAAACUUGUGCUAAUACCGUAUGUGCCCUUCGGGGGAAAGAUUUAUCGCCAUUGGAGCAGCCCGCGUUGGAUUAGGUAGUUGGUGAGGUAAAGGCUCACCAAGCCUACGAUCCAUAGCUGGUCUGAGAGGAUGACCAGCCACACUGGGACUGAGACACGGCCCAGACUCCUACGGGAGGCAGCAGUAGGGAAUCUUGCGCAAUGGGCGAAAGCCUAGACGCAGCCAUGCCGCGUGUAUGAUG
rnacentral:rRNA from 1 species